rnacentral:lncRNA from 1 species
UGGCAGAGAUGCUGACGUGGGAGGCCACGCAGAACGGAGCCAUGUGGGCGAUCCGCGUGCGCACGAUCGGAUGGCUGAGAUCCGUUCCCAUGCGCACAGAUGGCCCAGAUCAAACGCGCAUGUAGACGGCCCAGAUUGCAUGCGUGCGGACAGCCCAGAUUGAAUCACGCACGGACGGCCCAGAUUAAAUCGUGAUGGACGGUUCAGAUUAAAAGGAGAAGGUUAUAAAUAAUCUCAUCCACACCCAACUCCAAACCCAAGCCGUCAGAGCCAUCGCUGGAGAAGACAGCCCAGCC